rnacentral:lncRNA from 1 species
GAGAUACCAAGAUUUUGUGGUCAUUGCUAGUUCAUCUGAGUUUUCAGAAUCUAACGAUAGUCCAGCUUGCAUAUUUUUCAUCUUGUUAUUUUCUUCUUGUAGCCAAUGUUCUAAUUUUUCAAAAUUUUCUGGAUUAUAAGGGUCAAAAAGGUAAGACCAGGGAUCUUGAGGAUUUUGAAGCUGGGAUGUUGCUAGCUCGCAUUAGCAUCAACUUGAACCUUCAUAUGAUACAUUUUCUUUUCCUUUUGAUUUUUUCCUCCUUAACUGUGGAUUGUCUCUUCCAGUGUAGAAUAUACUAGUAAGGAUGUUUUCAUUCAACACUUUUCAUAACCUUUCUCUGAGUUGUUGUAGCUCAAGGGCGUUUUCUGAGUAUUUGGAUGUGUGACCUAAGCUUUAUGUUGGCCUUCGUGGAUACAAUUGAUUUCAAAAGUUGUCAAGGUGAUAAUCAUUAGGAGGAACAUAGUUCAUUGCCAAUAUUUUCCAUGGUUAGGCAAAAUUUUUGAAUGUAUUAUUUGGUUGAAUUCUGUCAUUUUUCUUCCGGAAUGUUCUAAAUUUUUAAAGAUAUUGUUUGGUUGAAUUCUGACAUAUUGUCUGACAACCAUGUAUUGGUAUUUCAGCAUGAGUUCUUUUGUAACAACCCAGGCUUUGUGUCGAAGCUUUAUGCACUGUCCACUAUAGGAAAGCUUGAGUCCAUCUUAUUCCCUUACAGAUUUCUAUCAUAUUCCCAGGAUUCGAACACAUGACCUUUCCUUAAGAGAGAUUUAAGUUGAGUCCUGGUACUAAUUGAAAGUGAACGGCUUCGACGCAGAGAUUGGAUCAUUACACUUUUGAUCUUGAAUGGAUUGUCCUGUUCCUCAUCAGGUUUUGAAGUUCAAGAGAUAAAUUUUAGAUUGGAGGAUUUUGUGAGGAUAUAGUUGAGGGCGGAUUGAGCAUCGGAUGAUAGCAAUCUGUAAUUGAAUGCGAGGUAUUGUUCUGGAGAAUAAAUCGACUAAGAUAUUAGAUUUGCCUUUGAUAUGUUUGACUUCAAAGUUAAAAUUGAAAAAUCAUUCUACCCAUUCCAAGAGCUGUGAGUUUGGAAUUUGUUUCUUUAUGAAGUUCACAUUUGAGGAAAUGCCAUAAUGUCCAUUUCAACUAGAAAUUUAUGACCGUUGGAAUUUCUCAGUUUCUCUUUUCACUGCAAGGAUUUCUUUGAAUUUAGAGUCGUAAUAUUUUUCAGAUUCCUUGAACAUAGCACUUUUUGUACCAUAAAUUCUCCUUUCACCAUCCUUUUGUUCUAGAAUUACUGCGUAUAUAUUAUUUGCAUCUGUCUGUAAAAUUCUCCUUCCCUCAGUAAGGACUUGUAAUUCUAAAAGAUUAUUGAUUCUGUUUUUGAUCUUCUUAAUAACCUGAGUCUGUUUGUAUGACCACUGUAGAUUAUUGUUCUUCAACAUGUCUUGUAGAUGUCUUAUAAUGGGGGCUAGUUGCUUAAAGAAGUUAAUCUUAUAAUUCACAAUCCCAAUAAACUAUUGGACUUGUUGUCUAGUCAAAUUUUCACCAGGAAACUUGAGAA